UCAUUUAAAAUCAUUUAGAAUCAUUGUGUUUUAUCACUAGAGAAAAAUGAUUAAACAUUUACAAAGAAGAAAUGCAGAUAAAAUAUCAACAAACCCUGUAGAUGAAAGAAGCCAUGCAGAAGGCGUGACAGAGGAAUCAUUGUUACCUUCUCAUGCCUUAACUCUAUCAACAUUGCAUUCAAACAGCUAUAAGCAAAGCCUUACUACAUCAUAGAUGGUGUCCAUCGCCAAAGAAGACUGUUCCUAAAGAUAGGAUAGUAGCUCAAGAACUCCAUGCAACAUCUGUCUUGACAACACCUCUAGUAGUUUCUUUUUUGGAGGAUAUCCAACAAAAAAAAAAGAAAGAUACUAUUGCUGCCUAAGGUCACAAACAAGUACGAUUGAAAAACGCAGAAAAGAAAAAAAAAACACACACAUACAGCUGUUGUUAAAGGAAAAUUAAACUUAUCCUACCCUGUAAAAUAUAAAGUACAGACUUUAAAAUCUUUUCUUUA